ACGAACGCUGGCGGCGUGCUUAACACAUGCAAGUCGAACGGUGACGCACCUUCGGGUGCUGAUCAGUGGCGAACGGGUGAGUAACACGUGGGCAACCUGCCCCUGACUCUGGGAUAACCCCUCGAAAGAGGAGCUAAUACCGGAUACCACCUCCCGCGGCAUCUCGGGAGGUCGAAAGUUUUUCGGUCAGGGAUGGGCCCGCGGCCUAUCAGCUAGUUGGUGGGGUGACGGCCUACCAAGGCGACGACGGGUAGCCGGCCUGAGAGGGCGACCGGCCACACUGGGACUGAGACACGGCCCAGACUCCUACGGGAGGCAGCAGUGGGGAAUAUUGCGCAAUGGGCGAAAGCCUGACGCAGCAACGCCGCGUGAGGGAUGACGGCCUUCGGGUUGUAAACCUCUUUCAGCGGGGACGAAGCGAAAGUGACUGUACCCGCAGAAGAAGCGCCGGCUAACUACGU
rnacentral:rRNA from 1 species